AACGCACAUUGCGCCCAUUAGUAUUCUAGUGGGCAUGCCUGUUCGAGCGUCAUUUCAACCCUUAAGCCUAGCUUAGUGUUGGGAGCCUACUGCUUUUACUAGCUGUAGCUCCUGAAAUACAACGGCGGAUCUGCGAUAUCCUCUGAGCGUAGUAAUUUUUUUCUCGCUUUUGACUGGAGUUGCAGCGUCUUUAGCCGCUAAACCCCCCAAUUUUUAAUGGUUGACCUCGGAUCAGGUAGGAAUACCCGCUGAACUUAA
rnacentral:misc_RNA from 2 species